rnacentral:rRNA from 1 species
GAUGAACGCUGGCGGCGUGCCUAAUACAUGCAAGUCGAACGCUGGAGAUCUAGCUUGCUAGAUCGAAGGAGUGGCGAACGGGUGAGUAAUACAUAAGCAACCUACCCACGAAGACUGGGAUAAUCUCUGGAAACGGGGACUAAUACCGGAUAGGUAAUCGGAAGGCAUCUUCUGGUUAUUAAAGGUUAAAAACACUGGUGGAUGGGCUUAUGGCGCAUUAGUUAGUUGGUGAGGUAACGGCCCACCAAGACGAUGAUGCGUAGCCGGCCUGAGAGGGUGAACGGCCACAUUGGGACUGAGACACGGCCCAGACUCCUACGGGAGGCAGCAGUAGGGAAUUUUCGGCAAUGGGGGCAACCCUGACCAAGCAACGCCGCGUGAGUGAAGACGGCCUUCGGGUUGUAAAGCUCUGUUGUAAGGGAAGAACGGUAGAUAGAGAAUAUCUAAGUGACGGUACCUUACCAGAAAGCCACGGCUAACUACGUG